GCCAGGUACGGUGGUGGGUACCUGUAAUCCCAGCUACUCAGGAGGCCGAGGCAGGAGAAUCACUUGAGCCCAGGAAGCAGAGGUUGUAGUGAGCAGAGAUUGCACCACUGCACUCCCGCCCUGGGCAAUAGAGUGAGACUCCGUCUCAA
rnacentral:sRNA from 1 species